UGUAUAAGAGACAGCAGUAGCCGCGGUAAUACGGAGGGUGCAAGCGUUAAUCGGAAUUACUGGGCGUAAAGCGCACGCAGGCGGUCUGACAAGUCAGAUGUGAAAUCCCCGGGCUUAACCUGGGAACUGCAUUUGAAACUGUCAGGCUGGAGUCUUGUAGAGGGGGGUGGAAUUCCAGGUGUAGCGGUGAAAUGCGUAGAGAUCUGGAGGAAUACCGGUGGCGAAGGCGGCCCCUGGACAAAGACUGACGCUCAGGUGCGAAAGCGUGGGGAGCAAACAGGAUUAGAUACCCCAGUAGUCCCUGUCUCUUAUACA
rnacentral:rRNA from 1 species